UGUUGUGUGAUGUAAUGGUUAGCAUAGGAGAUUUUGGUUCUUCUUGUAGAGGUUCGAGUCCUCUCACAACAA
rnacentral:tRNA from 1 species